CUGAAUAAAUUACUUUUCUCAGUGGUCUUUUUAGCGAAAAUGGAAGUCGUCACCACUUUCCAGUCAGUGAAAAUUGCAACUUCCUUCUCUACAAGAAAGUAACUUUGGCAUAAGAUAAUCUAUCUGUUUAAUUGGCAAAAACUAAGACAGAUCCAGAACAUUGGCAAGUCAACUACAGAUGUAUCUGCUUAUUGUGAGCCGUAGCGAUCCGUCACUUGUGGACCUUAGAAAGACCAGAUUGAGCGUAAUGCGGCGUUUAGAUGUGACGCAACAGGUACUAGACGAGGCAAAACCUGCAAGUUUUCAGUGUGGCAAAGAAUAAACACAUCCGAACUGCAUCCUUUGAUCUACCGUCCUUGAGCGAUAAGUCCCUGACGCUCCAACUGUGUGCCAAAUUUUGGAUUGUAAAGCGCGUGUCGAGCCAGAUCUAUCACGGCUUCUAGGUUAGUUUUCCAAAUUAAUUUCAUUGCUCAUAGAUUUUUACUUACAGCGUAAUGUUGCUUACAUGAGCAGCGAGAGAAGCGCGACGAUACAUUGCGACAAUACCGAGAUGCAAUCACGCGAUACUGCAAGAAAAACUCACCGACUGAAGCGUGCCCACCAAUCGUCCACCACGUGCCAAAUUUUUCUUUAUCAAGCAUCUCUGCAUCAAAUCUUUCGGGGCUAGAUAGAUUCAGGGCUAGAAGAUUUUCUAAAUUAAUUUCAUUAUUUUUACAUAUUGCAGCUUAAGUGAAGCGCGACAGGAGCGUGACGAGACCGCCAAGCAGGCGGACGAUACUGCAAGGCAAGCGCGACGUCCAAGACGCGCCUUUCACGUGCCUCUCGCAAGCUAGAUUUUGGAUGGUCAAGAGCGCGCCGGACCAGAUCGCUGGCGUCUUCAAGACAAUCUUUCCAAAAUAUAUUAAUUACUAACAGAGAUUUUGUCUUGUUGUCAGGUUGAGCGUAAAGGCGCUUACAAGUUAAAGUGCUACGAUACUGCAAGGCAAACGCAACGUCCAAGGCGCGACUUUUACGCGCUUCUCGCAAACUACAUUUUGGAUUGUCAAGAGCGCGUUGAACCAGAUCGUUAUAAUUGGCGAGUUCAACUAUCGAUGGGAGGGCUGCGAAACGUCAAAUUACUCGUUACCGAGUGACAGUUGAGACUUGUCUAUCUAUUGGAGUUGAUAAACCAGCGAAGUGAGAUACAAUUAUAACAAAAAUAAAUGUAAGUAGACGUACGAUACAUAAUUGUUCUGUAAAAAAUUGCCAAUCGCGAAAGGAUACGAACAGAAGCAACCAUUUUCAUUAUUUCCCCAAGAAAUAGUGGCCAAGUUGCCGUCACAAAAGGAAAAGAAGUUAAAAAGAACGUGGAUCGGCAAAAAGCAUGGAAGGGGGCUUUGUGAAGGGACCAGCCAGUUAAAAAGACUAUGCGGGUGUGUGUUCAUUGCAUUUCAAUACCGAAGAUUACAAAAGACAUCCUCAACCAGUAUGAAUCGUCCGAAACUGAAGCUAUCAGCUGUGCCUUCACGAAAUUUACUAGUUAGGGAAACGAAUAUAUGGGAAACGGACCGACAAACUGCAACACAACAUAUGAUUUAAUCACACAUGAAUAGAAGAGCUGAUGUAGACCAAAGGCUAUCACAAGUUUUGCGCUUUGUGACAAUGAAGACUUGGAUAAUGUGAACAAAAGUGUUAAGUGCUGUUUCUAUUUGGUCUAUUGGUUCUAUGUCAACAGAAGUCUCAAAUUACUAGUUAACGGAGUUUUAAUUUUAGCCACUGUUGAGCUCACGAAGAUGGUGCGACAGCAUCGCGAUGAUACCGUCAGAUCAGCGCAACGAUACUGCGAGAGAAACGCAUCCCAAGUUUUUGAUUCCCAAGCGCGCGUCGAACCAGGUCGGUCACGGCAUCAAGGUAAGUUUUCCAUAUUAAUUUCAUUACUAAUAGAAAAUUGCAUGGAAAAAGAAUCUCUUGCAAUUCUCACGCGUGACAAAAGCGCUAUGAGAUUGCAAAAUAAGCGUGCCUUUUACGCGGCAACCACAUAAUUUGGAAUGUCAAGAAAGUGUUGAGGCAAGUCGUCCGCGGCUUCAAGGCAACUUUUCCAAAUUAAUUUCAUUACUAAUAAAGUAAAACAAAACAAAAAACACAUUUGUGUGCGUCACGGGACGCUCGACAGAAGUGAUAUAGAACUGUAUAGAAGUUCAUACCAUUUAAAUAAACUCACGGGUCACGUGCAGGCCGUUUGUGUGCUGUGAUGUCAGACCAGGCGUUUUCGCAUUACGUCAGAUGAUGGAAUUCUCGAAAUUAUUUUCGUUUCGCUAAUGUAUCAGCAACCCAAUAGCUUUUUUAUUUUUAUCUGUAAUC